rnacentral:rRNA from 1 species
GACGAACGCUGGCGGCGUGGAUAAGACAUGCAAGUCGAACGGGACUUAAUCUGUAGCAAUACAGGUUAAGUUUAGUGGCGAACGGGUGCGUAACACGUGGGCAAUCUGCCGAGAAGUGGGGGAUAGCUCGCCGAAAGGCGAAUUAAUACCGCAUAUGAUCAGGGACGACAUCUUCCCAACAUCAAAGCCGGGGCAACCUGGCGCUUCUUGAGGAGCCCGCGGCCUAUCAGCUAGUUGGUGAGGUAACGGCUCACCAAGGCUAUGACGGGUAGCUGGUCUGAGAGGACGACCAGUCACACUGGAACUGAGACACGGUCCAGACACCUACGGGUGGCAGCAGUCGAGAAUUUUUCUCAAUGGGGAAACCCUGAAGGAGCGACGCCGCGUGGAGGAUGAAGGUCUUCGGGUUGUAAACUCCUGUCAUUUGAGAACAAGGUGCACACAGUAACUACGUGGGCAUUGAUAGUAUCAGAAGAGGAA